UCCUCUGCUUGUAAAUAUGUUUCUAGAUUCCCAUGGUUUUAUUUAUCAAAGGGUAUAGUUCUAUUUAUAGAUUAGAGUGUUCUUUUUAUAUGUGCAUAUAUUGAUAGAUCUGUAGAGUAAAGUAAGGAUAUAUAUGCAGUUAGAGAAGUGAUAUAUUUUAUAAUAAAUUUACAUUUAUAGAUUUUCAGAGAUUAAUUUUUUUUGUGUAGAGUCCAAAAAAAAAUAGAUGAAGUUUCAUUUAUAAAUGAGGAUAGUUAUAGAGUAAGAAGAAUAUGAAUAUUUAGAUGGAGAGGUUGCUGUUUGCAUAGGCCUAGGCUGCAUUUUUACCUCUUUGCCCCCUCGGCUGCCUUUCUCACCUCUUGCUUUUCCCCCUGUGCCCCUUGUGUCCCCUCUCCCUGUGCUGGGUCCGAGCUGGCGGCCGGGCCGGCCAGAGCAGCACUUCCAGCCCCGGCUGUCCCUGGAGCGGUGGGAGCUGCCGCUAGCCCCAGGCACUGUCCCCUGAGGAGCUGCUGAAGGACGCUGCAAGGAAGACCUCGAGGACAGCCAGAGACUGACAGGAGCCAGCAGGGAGAAUCUGAAGGGCAGCAGCAGGAGUCAUGAACGGGGACCUGCUGCUGCCAGCCUGGAGAGAGCUCGGAUGUCCCAUCUGCUGUCCCUGUCCAGGAGAGCUGCUCUGCAUGGGAGGAGGAGACCGAGGGAGAGGCUUUGAAGAUGAGGCAGCUGGGAUCCUUCUUCUUUUUGUGCUGUUUAAUUAUCUAUGGACUAGCAUGGAGUUACUGAUAAUUACAUGCAUAAUUUCAUAAGUAGCUUGCUAUUUUUUAUUGGUAUAUUUCUGUAUGUAUCUUGUUAUAUUUAUGAAUGUACUCUCUAUCUAUGUACAUAUAGAUAUAUACAUACAGGUUUACAGUUACGUAUUUGUCUAAAUAUGUAUCUACUUUUUUAUGUAUGUUGUAAUAUCUGUGUUUAGUUAUUUUUCCAUAUGUGUACAGCUUUGUAGGUGUUUAUCAAUGUAGUUUUCAGUAUAAAUCUUUUAAAAUUAGUGUAUUGGUAUUUGUAUUGGUACAGAUGCCUGUUUUUAUAUUUUUUAAUUGUAUAUUGACUUAUUUAAUUAUAUUUACAUAUGUGUCCAGAUGCAUAGCUGUAUAUUUGUAUGGAUGAAGUUGGAUUGCUAUUUAGAU